rnacentral:rRNA from 1 species
AGCAAUCUCGGGCUUGGUUAGUACUUGGAUGGGUGACCGCUUGGGAAUACCAAGUGUGAUAAGCA